UAGGACACUAGGAUGUCAUUCUCUGACAAUUUAUAAAAAACACCUCAGAUUUUUCUUGGGAAAAAUAUGUACAUGUGCACAUGUGAAAUGCUCCAUGAAAGUGUGAAGUGUUUUACCUGGUUAUUCUUCACUACAAAUUAAUGUUGUAUUUGUGUAGACAGAUGACUUCAUGGCUGGAAUUGUUUGUCUCCGUGCUGACCUGCUGCAAUACUUUACUGUCUCUGUGGCUUAUUAUGGAGUGCCUGCUGUGCCAGCACUUAUCAGCAGAACUGUACAUGCUGCACUUCACAUGCACAUCUACUGCAGAAAGCUCUGCAAGAGGAACUGUUUGAUGGAUUCAGGGAGAGAUGCUUUUGCUGUUGUGCUUUUUUAAAAUGGGGAUGCACUGAAGGAGACCACAGGAGGCAACCAGGAUGAGCAGAGGGAUGGAGCAGCUCUGCUGGGAGAGCUGGGAUUGUUCAGCCUGGACAGGAGAAGCUUUGGGGUGACCUCAGUGUGGGCCAUCUCUGGAAAUGUUGGACACUGGGGCUUGGAGCAGCCUGGGAUAGUGGAAGUUGUCCCUGCCCAUGGCAGGGGCUGAACAAGAUGACCUUUAAUGUCUCUUCCAACCAAACCAUCCCAUGAUUCUCAGAGCAAAGCCAGUGUAGGUCCUUUUUCUGAAGAGUGCCCAAGUGUACAUUUAUUCUAAGCAAGUGCCUGAAACUUUCCUUGACAUAUGAGAUGACAAAACCCCACACAUUUUAUUAGUGGGUGAUUUAACAGCUUCAUUUUGUCCCACUUAUUUCUCUUGAAAUCUUCUCAAUAUUACUUCAAAAGAUAAGUCCUAUGAAGAAGCAUAAAAUUCCCAGAGUUAUUUUAUUUAGCAUUUCCUUUUUCUUGGAGAGGAGUUGUAGAUUUGUAACCAACCAAGUGUGUUGAUACAUGUAGCUGAAUGCAAUAGUGAAUGCUACACUUGAGCUAAAGGGCUUUAAAUUCCAACUCUGCCUUUAUUUCUUUGAUAAUAGUUCAUGAUUUUUUCCCCUGAUGGCUAAGAUGGAUGUUUUCAACAAAAAUCUGCACUGUGUGCUCCCUAAACCUUUCUUGUGAACUUUGUCAACAGCUUGAAGAACAGUGCUGCUUGCAAGUGUAACUCAUUCAAAAGUCUCCUCCCUGUGAUGAAAUUCCUUGGGCAGAAUAUGCAUCAAAAGAAUGAAGAUAUUUGCAGCUUACUCUCCUUCAGCAGUGGACACUGUGUGUCCCAGAGGGAAACAGGCACAAAAGAUGAAAUAAUUGGCAGUUGUCAGCUGUGUGUCUCUGUUCCAAAGCCAAGGCCACCUGAGGGGGAGUGUUUGUGCUUUGCUGUGUUCCUUGUGGGGGUCGAUGGCACCUGGUGACAGUGACAGGGGUCAGAUGCCUCACCAGGCUAGAGCCUGUGAGGUGACACUCAGGUGUCAGCAAAACGGGGAAAACAGACUCUAACAAACUAAAACAGGCUCCUGAUGGAUUGACACAGAUUUCCUGUGGGAAAACUAGAAAUACUCACCAAACAACUUGGCCAAAUUUUGUUCUGUUUUCAGGUAAAUUCUGCUUCCUCUCAGUCUUUGAAGGAGUUUAGCCGCCACAAGGCCUGCAGAAAGGGAGGUAAAUGCACCCUUGAAGUGACUAAUUUAUAAAGGUUUUUUCAUUACUUGUACUGGGGAUUAGUCAGUCUUCUUGUACCAUUCUCGACCUUUGAGUCUGAUCCAAUUUGCAAUGAAGACGUUGGGAUAAUCUAAGGGCAUUUUUGAAUGAGAGAGCCAUAAUCAUAGAAUUACAACAUUAUAGAAACUUUCAGGUAGGAAAAGACCCUUAAGAUCGAAUCCAACCACUAAGCCAGCACAGCUAGACCCACCACCAAACCAUGUCCCUGAAUGCAGCAUCUAUAUGGCUUUUAAAUACCUCCAGGGAUAGGAAACUAGUAUUUAAAAAUGUGUUAGUGAAAUAGGCUUAUUUCUUUUUAAAUAUCUACAGGAUAUUUGAUAAAGGAAAGAAAAUGGGUUUUAAUAAAGUGCAUUCUUAUUUAAACACCAGGAAAUGUGUUUUUAU